AGAUUGAACGCUGGCGGCAUGCCUAACACAUGCAAGUCGAACGGGAGUAGCAAUACUCUAGUGGCGGACGGGUGAGGAAUACGUAGGGAAUUUGCCCUUAAGUGGGGGAUAACCCGGGGAAACCCGGAUUAAUACCGCGAUGACCUCGAAAGAGCAAAGUGGGGGAUCGCAAGACCUCACGCUUUUGGAGAAGCCUACGUCGGAUUAGCUAGUUGGUGAGGUAAUGGCUCACCAAGGUCGACGAUCCGUAACUGGUCUGAGAGGAUGAUCAGUCACACCGGAACUGAGACACGGUCCGGACUCCUACGGGAGGCAGCAGUGGGGAACUAUUGGACAAGUGGGCGCAAGCCUGGAUCCAGCAAGUGCCGCGUGUGUGAAGAAGGCCUUCGGUGUAAGCACUUUAAGGUGGAAGAAAACGUCGCUACUAACACUAGU
rnacentral:rRNA from 1 species